UCAAACACACACACACAAAAAACACACACAAACAUUCUCAAACGUUACUUUUCUGUUUUCUCCCAUCAAACCCAAAGAAGAGACGCUACCCCUGCAACCUAAUCGUUGAAGCACGAACGGCGGCUCCAGGCACACUAGCGGCUUCAGUUGGAGCGGCGACAACAUGUGUUCCCCGAAGGAGGCAACACGAUCGGGGAUAUGGACUAUUUUAACAUUAAGGUCCAUCAUAGAGGAACCUUCAAUAAUAAAGAGGGAGUCUGGCAGUAUUUAAAGGAUGAAAACACAAUGGUGGAUUGGACAAAUUGUGAUCAAUUGGGGACAAUGGAGGUUUAUGACAUGUUAGAGAAGUUAGGAUAUUUUGAAGACAACAUUGCUGUGUUGUGGUACAAAGAUUGUGGGUUGAGUAUAGACGAAGGGUUGAGACAGUUCAAGACUGAUGUAGAUGCAAUGGCCAUGGCGAAUGUUGGAGUUGAAAAGGGUGUUGCCGACUUGUUUGUGAUGCAUAAGACAUCAGAGCCUGAUGAUUUUCCCUAUGAGAUUAGUUAUUUAGAUGUUGGUGGUGGUAAAACUAAUGAAGUAAUGAUGUUGAUGUGGAAGUGGAGGCCCAAAAUGUGGACGUGGAGGCCUAAGUUCCUAAUAUAGUUGAGGUCCAAGUUGUUAAGGAUGUUGGUUUGGAUAAAAUUCAAAUACAUGGAGAAGAAGAAGCCCAUGCCAACAAUGUUGAUUCUUCAAGUGAGGAAGAUGAAGAAUAUGAGACACAGGAUGAUGAAGAUCUUUACUUCUAUGACAAUGAAGAUGACUUCUAUAGGGAUGAUGCUCUCUUUGAUGUUGACAUCACUUUGGAAUAACUGUAUCAAGAAAUUAAGAAAAAGAAAAGAAAAGAAAAGAAACAUUGAGUCAAAGAAGAAGAAAAAGGCUGGCGGGGUGCAAAGCAGUGGGCUUAGUGAGGAUGAGGGGCUGGAUAGUAAUGAAUUAGAAGAUUUGCCUCCUGAAGGGGACAAAGAAUACAAAACAUUUCCGGUGUAUAAUGAGUUGAAGGACAUGAGUGCUUAUGGGUGGGAGGUUAGAACAUUAUUUGCUACAAGAGAGGAAUUCAAGGAUGCGGUGACUACAUAUGUCGUGCAUAGUGGCAGAAAUGGUAAGUUUCCAGUUGUCGACAAGGGCUGAAUGAGAGCUAAAUGUAAGGAUGAAAUCUAAGUGGUUGGACAAGGUGUUUAAGAUGAAGGUUGAAGCGAAUCCAAGACUGAAUUUGAAGGAUUAAAGAAAGGGCACAAAACAAGUGGAACAUGUCAAGGUGCAAUUGUCAAACCCAAAAUCUUUAAGGGUAAAGAAGUUGGUGGACAUCAAUGACAGCUUUGAGGUACAAUGGCGGAGGCUAUAUUACCAUUGGCAUGAGCUCUUGAUGUCAAAUUCUGGAUCCUCAGUAAAUCUUCAAUUUCAACUACCUCCAGAGGCACUAACUAUUAACUAAAAGUCCUACCGUCCCAAGAGGGUUAAGCACGAAUGCUCUUGUAGAAAAUUUCAGUUAACUGGUUUUCCUUGUCCUCAUGCAGUUAGUGCCAUAAAUCGUGCCAGGAAUGAUGUUAGAAAUUACGUUGAUAACUGUUAUAAAAGAGAUGCAUAUGUUGCAUUUUACCAACAUGUAAUUAGUUCUUGCAAUGGAGAGCAAUUGUCGGAAAGAACUGAUCGAGCAUCCAGAUUUGAUGCCCUCAACAUAUAGAAAGCCUAUAGGCCGGCCUACCAAAAAGAAAACCCGGGGACAAGAUGAAGAGCCAAGUGGUUCAACUAUGUCUAGAGCUGGGGAAGCAACAAAAAUGCUCCGAAUGUGGUGUAAUUGGACAUAAUAAGAUGGGAUGUCCACAAAGACUUCCAAGUUUCUUCUCCUCUGCCUCUCGCCGGUGGUUUGUCGGACCUCUACCUCUUCGAGUCAUCACUUUGAUUCGAGACUGUGUCUCUUUGCCUUGUCCUCCCAUUUGCGAAUCUGUCUUCACUUUGAUUCGCCGGAGUAUCUCUCUUUUUUGGUUCUCUUCUUUCGUUGGUGGCUCGCCGGAGCUCAUCAAUUGAGAUUUUAAAAUCUGCCAGUAUUGAACUCUUCAUUUCAAUGGAUCCUGCUAAUGAGGUAGCCGAUCGUGAUGUUCCCAGAGUCUGCAGAGCAUUCGACUUCUACAUUACCUCCUCUCCCAACCACAUCAUCUGAAUGCAAAAAUCGAUCAACAGUUUGAGACCAUUUCAACAGAACCCCUAAUGAUGAAAAUAAGGCUCAAUGUCAACACUAUUUGAAAGUGAUUAAGUGCGGAAAUGGAACAAAAGCAAUGAGAUCACAUUUAAAUAUUUGCAUGAGCAAUCCCGGUUCAGAUAGAGGCAAAUGACGGAAAACAGGCACAUCGCCUAGCCCAGAAGCCAAGUGGGUAGGUUUGAUGCAGAAUAUGCUUGGGAAAUAUUGAUAUCAAUGUUUGUUCGCGAGGAGUUUCCUUUUCGAUCUGUAGAAAGUCAAUGUUUUAAAGAAUAUUCGGCAGCUUUGCAACCAGGAUUUAACGCUCUUUCACGUA